CGGCGGACGGGUGAGUAACGCGUGGGUAACCUGCCUCAUACAGGGGGAUAACAAGUUGGAAACGGCUGCUAAUACCGCAUAAGCGCACAGUACCGCAUGGUACCGUGUGAAAAACUCCGGUGGUAUGAGAUGGACCCGCGUCUGAUUAGCUAGUUGGUGGGGUAACGGCCUACCAAGGCGACGAUCAGUAGCCGACCUGAGAGGGUGACCGGCCACAUUGGGACUGAGACACGGCCCAAACUCCUACGGGAGGCAGCAUG
rnacentral:rRNA from 1 species